rnacentral:rRNA from 1 species
AGCUUUAGGAAUAGAUCUAAAGUUAUACCUGCCCAAUGUAGUCUUAUGAAUGGCCGCGGUACUUUGACCGUGCUAAGGUAGCGCAAUCAAUUGGCUCUUAAUUAGGGUCAGGUAUGAAUGGAGAUACGGGGUUUAGCUGUCUCUUAACCAUUUGUUUGAAAUUACUAUACAGGUGAAAAAGCCUGUGAGAAGAAAAAAGACGAGAAGACCCUUAGAGUUUUACCUAUUUAAAAUUUUGUUAAAGAUUAUAUUUUUAAUGGUUUAGUUGGGGCAACAUAGGAGUAUAUAAUCCCUCCUGUAUAUUAUUGACCGAUUAUAUUAAAUUUGAAUAAACUACCUUAGGGAUAACAGCAUAAUUUAUUUGAUAAGUUUGUGACCUCGAUGUUGGACUAGGAAAUUUAAAGGCUAGCCGUCUUUAGAGAAAGUUCUGUUCGAACUAUUAUUCCU